rnacentral:rRNA from 1 species
GACGAGGGCGCGAGCGUUGUCCGGAUUUAUUGGCGUAAAGAGCUCGUAGGCGGUCUGUCGCGUCUGGCUGUCGAAAACUCAGGGCUUAACCCUGAGCUUGCCAGUGGGUACGGGCAGACUAGAGUGGCGGUAGGGGGAGGACUGGAACGUUCCUGGGUGUAGCGGUGAAAUGCGCAGAGUAUCGAGGAGGAACACCGGGUGGCGAAGGCGGGGUCUCUGGGCCGGUAAACUGACGGCUGGAGGAAGCGAAAGCCAUGGGGAGCGAACAGG